rnacentral:lncRNA from 1 species
AUGAAGGAAAAUUAUUGAAUUUAGAGCAGUUGGACAUAAAUAUGGCAAAUAGUUUUAUAAUGCUAAAUAAUGAACUGUUAUCAAAUCUGGCGCUACAAAG